rnacentral:rRNA from 1 species
UACGUAGGGUGCGAGCGUUAAUCGGAAUUACUGGGCGUAAAGCGUGCGCAGGCGGUUUUGUAAGCCAGAUGUGAAAUCCCCGGGCUCAACCUGGGAAUGGCAUUUGGGACUGCAAAGCUUGAGUGUGGCAGAGGGGACUGGAAUUCCUGGUGUAGCAGUGAAAUGCGUAGAGAUCAGGAGGAAUACCGAUGGCGAAGGCAGGUCCCUGGGCUGACACUGACGCUCAUGCACGAAAGCGUGGGGAGCAAACAGG